ACACAGGUGGUCAGGUAGAGAAUACCAAGGCGCUUGAGAGAACUCGGGUGAAGGAACUAGGCAAAAUGGUGCCGUAACUUCGGGAGAAGGCACGCUGACACGUAGGUGAAGUGAUUUACUCACGGAGCUGAAGUCAGCCGAAGAUACCAGCUGGCUGCAACUGUUUAUUAAAAACACAGCACUGUGCAAACACGAAAGUGGACGUAUACGGUGUGACGCCUGCCCGGUGCCGGAAGGUUAAUUGAUGGGGUCAGCGCAAGCGAAGCUCCUGAUCGAAGCCCCGGUAAACGGCGGCCGUAACUAUAACGGUCCUAAGGUAGCGAAAUUCCUUGUCGGGUAAGUUCCGACCUGCACGAAUGGCGUAAUGAUGGCCAGGCUGUCUCCACCCGAGACUCAGUGAAAUUGAACUCGCUGUGAAGAUGCAGUGUACCCGCGGCAAGACGGAAAGACCCCGUGAACCUUUACUAUAGCUUGACACUGAACAUUGAGCCUUGAUGUGUAGGAUAGGUGGGAGGCUUUGAAGUGUGGACGCCAGUCUGCAUGGAGCCGACCUUGAAAUACCACCCUUUAAUGUUUGAUGUUCUAACGUGGACCCGUGAUCCGGGUUGCGGACAGUGUCUGGUGGGUAGUUUGACUGGGGCGGUCUCCUCCUAAAGAGUAACGGAGGAGCACGAAGGUUGGCUAAUCCUGGUCGGACAUCAGGAGGUUAGUGCAAUGGCAUAAGCCAGCUUGACUGCGAGCGUGACGGCGCGAGCAGGUGCGAAAGCAGGUCAUAGUGAUCCGGUGGUUCUGAAUGGAAGGGCCAUCGCUCAACGGAUAAAAGGUACUCCGGGGAUAACAGGCUGAUACCGCCCAAGAGUUCAUAUCGACGGCGGUGUUUGGCACCUCGAUGUCGGCUCAUCACAUCCUGGGGCUGAAGUAGGUCCCAAGGGUAUGGCUGUUCGCCAUUUAAAGUGGUACGCGAGCUGGGUUUAGAACGUCGUGAGACAGUUCGGUCCCUAUCUGCCGUGGGCGCUGGAGAACUGAGGGGGGCUGCUCCUAGUACGAGAGGACCGGAGUGGACGCAUCACUGGUGUUCGGGUUGUCAUGCCAAUGGCACUGCCCGGUAGCUAAAUGCGGAAGAGAUAAGUGCUGAAAGCAUCUAAGCACGAAACUUGCCCCGAGAUGAGUUCUCCCUGAGACUUUAGGUCUCCUGAAGGAACGUUGAAGACGACGACGUUGAUAGGCCGGGUGUGUAAGCGCAGCGAUGCGUUGAGCUAACCGGUACUAAUGAACCGUGAGGCUUAACCUU
rnacentral:rRNA from 1 species